ensembl:snRNA U6 U6 spliceosomal RNA
GUUCUUAUUUUGUUAGCACAUAAACUAAAAUUGGAUCAAUACAGAGCUUAGAAUGAUGCCUGCUCAAUGUUGACAUGCAGAGAAGAAUUCUGUAUUUUG